rnacentral:lncRNA from 1 species
UGGGUGGUUGGUCGAAACAUAGAAAAAACUUAUUCUUCCACUCACGGAUAAAAGAAGGGCGAUUGGUAAUAAAUUGGCAAUGAGGUUGGGGAUCAAAGUACCACUAGCCCCUUUUCUAAGGAUGUUUUUUGAGAAUAAAAAAGCUCAAGAAAGAGAUGGUCUCAAGGGAAUGUGAAGAAUAUUACAAAGGACAAUAAAGGAGCG